AGAGUUUGAUCAUGGCUCAGGACGAACGCUGGCGGCGUGCUUAACACAUGCAAGUCGAACGGUAAGGCCCCCUUCGGGGGUACACGAGUGGCGAACGGGUGAGUAACACGUGAGCAACCUGCCCUUGACUCUGGAAUAACAGUUGGAAACAGCUGCUAAUACCUGGAUAUGACCUCCGACGACAUCGUCCGGCGGUGGAAAGCUUUUGCGGUCAAGGAUGGGCUCGCGGCCUAUCAGCUUGUUGGUGAGGUAACGGCUCACCAAUGGCUUCGACGGGUAGCCGGCCUGAGAGGGCGACCGGCCACACUGGGACUGAGAUACUGGCCCAGACUCCUACGGGAGGCAGCAGUGGGGAAUAUUGCACAAUGGGCGAAAGCCUGAUGCAGCAACGCCGCGUGCGGGAUGACGGCCUUCGGGUUGUAAACCGCUUUCAGUUCCGACGAAGCGAAAGUGACGGUAGGAACAGAAGAAGGACCGGCCAACUACGUGCCAGCAGCCGCGGUGAUACGUAGGGUCCGAGCGUCGUCCGGAAUUAUUGGGCGUAAAGGGCUUGUAGGCGGUUUGUCGCGUCGGAAGUGAAAACUCAGGGGCUUAACCCUGAGCCUGCUUCCGAUACGGGCAAACUAGAGGAAUGCAGGGGAGAACGGAAUUCCUGGUGGAGCGGUGGAAUGCGCAGAUAUCAGGAGGAACACCGGUGGCGAAGGCGGUUCUCUGGGCAUUACCUGACGCUGAGAAGCGAAAGCGUGGGGAGCAAACAG
rnacentral:rRNA from 1 species